UGAUGAGCUUGUUGGCAUGCAGGGUCCUGUUUUUCAUCUGGUUGAAAAUGCAUUUACUGUUCUUGCCAGUAAUAUGAUAUUUCUUGGAGUUGUGAUCUUUGUUCCCUUUUCAUUAGGACGAAUUAUACUCUAUUAUUUGUCUUGGAUUUUGUCCUCUGCAAGCAAUCCAGUAUUAUCAACUGUUAUGCCACUUACUGAAACAGCACUUUCCUUGGCCAAUAUUACUUUGAAGAGUGCAUGGACUGCUGUUGCGAAUUUAACUCCCACUGCUAAUGAUGAGAGCAGUUUACUUGGUCAAGUCACUGAAAUGUUGAAAGCAAAUGCCACUGAAUUGAGUGAGGCAGCAAACAAUCUCAGCACAACAGUGUCGACUGAUCUUUUGAAAGGGUCAUCUGUUGGAACAUCCAGACUUUCGGAUGUUACAACUCUUGCUGUUGGCUACAUGUUUAUAUUUUCUCUAGUCUUUUUUUACCUUGGGAUUGUAGCUUUAAUCCGGUACACCAGGGGAGAGCCUUUGACGUUGGGAAGAUUCUAUGGUAUCGCUUCCAUUGCAGAAACCAUCCCCUCCCUCUUUAGACAAUUUGUAGCAGCUAUGAGGCAUCUGAUGACUAUGAUUAAGGUUGCUUUCCUCCUUGUUAUCGAACUUGGUGUUUUCCCUUUGAUGUGUGGAUGGUGGCUG
rnacentral:misc_RNA from 1 species